AGUUAGAAGGAAAAAAAAAAUCUAUAUUGUAAACAAAGCUGCUGUUGGACUUAGGCCCAAAUUUGUUUGUUGGUUUGUUUGGUUGUUUAAAAGCAAAUUUCAAAUAAAACUUUUAAUUCCUUUUGUUCUUAUAGCUUUAUGGACAAUUCUAAAGUCUCAACAAUCCUGCAAUGUCUACAUCCCUACAAUGUUUGCAAAGCUUUUGUAAACAAUAGCACUGUUUGAUAUAAUUCAUAUACCCUAGAAAACGGCAUUAAUCCUGUGUCACUGUGCAAGUUUUAGAAGUAUCAUGGUAAUUCAAUUCCCGGGCCUGAGGUCAGGAAAGCAGGUGCGCCCACGUGCUUCUGUCAUCCACAAAAAGUGAUAGAGCAAUGGGUUUGUAGAGGGGCCCGUGUGCAUGGGUCACGCUGUGUCGUGCUGAAGGUGUGCCUCAAUGUAGUCCACCCAAGGCAGAGCAAAUUACAAAGUUGGAGUCCUGUUCUGCAGGCACACAAGUGCUCCUAUUGCUUAGGAAAGUCAGUUUUCCCUUUAUUUGUCAGUAAAUUUUACCAUCCCCUUUAGACGGAACUAUGUAUUCUCAGUUUCACUUUUUAUUCUCCUGUAGCUGACUCAGAGACAAUUUGUUAGAGGAAGUUGAGCAGCUAACGAGUACCUGAGCCAAGCACUUAGCUAACACUGGAGUCCUCAUGAAUAGUGUUCUGUGUCUGUUAAACUCAGCAAGUUUUUGAUGGUACGUGCAAACAAAAAUGCUUAAAACAUGACACUACCGGGUGCUUGGACACUCAGUUCUUAAAUCCUAGCAGGAUUUCCAGAUUUUCUGUUCCCCCACCUGCAGACCCUCAUCUGGUAUCUGCUCUCAAAGGCUGUGCUGUUAGCCUCGGAACAGCUAGAGAUGCCACUUUCUGAGGACUGAGGAGAUAGUUGCUGUGCACUACAGGAGUAUCCCUGGUAUCCCUGGUCACCACCAAUCAGUUGGGGUUGUAAAGUCAGUACCACUUACGAAACUGUAGCUGCCUUUUAGAAUAUUCUUCCCCUAAGCUAAUGGACACUGACCUUGCACAUGAGUUUCUGUAUCUGUUUUGAAACUAUCAACACGUAGACAUUCUCUGCCCUACACCCCCCUUCAGCUUCUCCUACUUCUCAGUCAACCAGAAUUAUCUGUUGUGCAUUGUGUAUCAUCAUGAAUGUCUCGUUUUGGUUGUUGUCAGCUAGUCUGGCAGGAUGCACAAGGUAUUUCACCCAUCCUUUUCCUAGUCAAAGACACGUGACGCUCCAGAUAGGUGCUAUUGAUCUGUGUUGACUUCUCUACCACAGCUGUCAUCUCCGUGAACGUCCAUCCCUCUCCUCACUGGACAGUAUAAACAUGUUUAUCUGUUCCACUGGCCACAUUGACAUCUGGCCAUGCUUCAAGCUUGUUUUGGCUUGCUCUGCUCAUGCUAUAGCUGUUACAUUCAUCUUGCCAAGUCUCAUCUGAUCUCUGUAGGCUCCUCCCUCCCACCCACAUGCGUUAAGUGCAUGUCCACCAUCCCAUCCACAGUAGACCACCCCCAUUGCCGUUCUCUUAUACCAUAUUUCUUCCCAGUCUUCAGGACUAGCCUUGGCCAGAGACAUCCCCAGCCUGAAGCACACAGACACAGACAUUCUCAGCAGUGCUCAAGACAAGGGAGAGGGGCUAGCAAUGAGAACCCUUAAAUAGAGAAUAGGCAGAAUACUCUGUUUGACUUUGGCUACCUGAUCUAGCAUCAAUUCUGCCGAAUUUUUUUUUGCUUCAAAAGGUGUUGAACAACUUUGGCCAGCUAGGGUGACUUUCAAAAGCACGUAGGGCAAUAAAAAAUGCAAAGCUAAUGUUGUCCAGCUACAAAUUAAUGGAACAACUGAGAAACAGUCCUUAGUCAAUGCUGUAUCCCUCUCAGUAAUAUCAGAGAUCUGUCUUUAACAGCAUAAUUUUUGAAUGUUGCAUCUGAUCAGUUCCCAGCUUUCUAGGGACAUUUUUAGGCAUCAAAGAGCAGAGCCUUACCGAUUUGGAGGAGGACCAGGAAAAGAAGAAGCACAUGCAACUGUUGAUGUGCUGUUAGUGAAGCCUUCGCUACAACGUCUGCAUUUCCCUACAGCAGCAUGCACAACUUUGGAUGAAUGGAAAAGUUUUAAAUAAUGCAAGCUCAAUGUAACAGAAGAUGAAGAUAAAAGAAUAGAGACUUACAGCAGGAGAAAAAAUAAUGGAGGAGCAUCAGUAAAACUUGGAUGCUGUGCAUUCUAAUUUUGAACUGGUUUGAACUGGACUGCAGAGGAGCAUUGCGGGAAACUCAAAUGAGAACAGUGGAAGAGUGCUUAGUUUAAGUCCCCUUCAGGGCCUAGCUGAAAGGACAGAAAGUUCUGGUCUUCGUGAAUGGACCCAGUAAAAAACACACCAGAAGGUUAUCUUAUUUUUUCAAACACUCUGGCAACUUCAACUUUUACUGCACUGCCAAAUACUAGACAACAAGAGAAGCUGGGAAGACAAAUGGAAAAAAGAAGGCAGAGGAAAAGAGCUGCGUCCCAAGCUUUUACUUCGUCUGUCAUUUUAAGAAACGGUGCCAUUUCCAAACAACUAUUUUGUAAUUGUGUCUUAAGAUCUCAGCAGACACUAUGUGUGAUGUACACGUAGCUUGUGAGUUGCCUGCUGUGCAUGGAGAACUGCACAGUGAGGGUCUGGCACAGUGGGAGGGGGAACACGCCCAGCCUGCCUGUAGGCACCAGCGUGGAGGUUAGUCAUCCUGCUGAGUCAACAGGAGACACAAGCACCUCCAAAGGGUGCCUCUGCCUACUUGUCGUCUAAAGUUAGACAGCUAAAGUUAUAAUGAUAGGCUCAUAAGCAAUGCUCAUUUAUGCACGAAAUUCAUCUUGCAUGGGUGAUCUGGAUUACCAGAUCAAAAUCUUUUCGUCUGGAGUAAACUCUGUGAGGGGCUGGGCAGGGGUCUGCAGCGGCUGUUUUAGGGCUCUCCUUGCUGCCCUUCUCAAACAAAUGCAGAAGGUGGGAAAAGGUCAAACGAAAGUCCCAGCAGGAUUUGUGUUCACGCAAAUCUAGUGGUAGAAACGAGACAGUAGAGUCUGAAUUCUGUCAAGGAAGUUGCUAAAAAGAGGCUGGGACAAGGGAAAGGAUUGCACAGCGGAUGUAUUCACCCCUCUGUCAGCAAUUCUACCUCUUUGCCCACCUCUGCCUUUCACUUGCAUAGAGACUGAUUCCUGGCUGGUAUUUUAAUGGAGUGAAUUCCCACUUACCAGAACAUAGUAAUUGUUCAGGCUUCUUGUUUACACAGGUCUAGAUGUACAAGUUUUGUCCUGUCAGUCACAAAUUUCUAAGCAUCUAGACUCUACUUCAAUAAACAGG